rfam:Pteropus alecto contig43683, whole genome shotgun sequence.
GGUUGGGGACAGGGGCGCGCUGUUGGACUGCGACCUGAGGCGGUGGGGACAGGGCAG